UACGUAGGUGGCGAGCGUUGUCCGGAUUUACUGGGCGUAAAGAGCGCGCAGGCGGUCGUACAAGUCGCGUGUGAAAGCCCCUGGCUCAACUGGGGAGGGUCACGCGAUACUGUUCGACUCGAAGGCAGGAGAGGGAAGUGGAAUUCCCGGUGUAGUGGUGAAAUGCGUAGAUAUCGGGAGGAACACCAGUGGCGAAGGCGACUUCCUGGCCUGUUCUUGACGCUGAGGCGCGAAAGCGUGGGGAGCAAACAGG
rnacentral:rRNA from 1 species